rnacentral:tRNA from 1 species
UGGGAUUGUAGCUCAAUUGGUCAGAGUGUCCGGUUGUCAGCCGGAAGGUUGCGGGUUCGAGUCCCGUCAGUCCCGU